AACGCACGAGACCUGCGGACCUGCGGAAGGAUCAUUACUGAGUGAGGGCCCUCUGGGUCCAACCUCCCACCCGUGUUUAUUGUACCUUGUUGCUUCGGCAGGCCCGCCUCACGGCCGCCGGGGGGCUUUCCGCCCCCGGGCCCGCGCCUGCCGGAGACAAUCUUGAACGCUGUCUGAAGAAUGCAGUCUGAGCGAUUAAGCAAAAUUAGUUAAAACUUUCAACAAUGGAUCUCUAGAUCG
rnacentral:misc_RNA from 1 species